rnacentral:rRNA from 1 species
AUGCAUUCUCCAACAUCAGCAACAGGAAAAGGAAUGGAAGAGUUUUUAGCUGAGGUUGGGAGCUUAACAACCGUGCACCAUAGGUAUCUCGUUGUGCUGGUUGGCUACUGCACUGACAAGGACCAUUUAGCUCUAAUUUAUGAGUACAUGCCUAAUGGAAGUCUUUAUGAUAACAUACGAGGCAGAAAUGCAAUUGUUCAGACACUGGGAUGGCAUGAUCGAGCACGGAUUGCACUUGAAGCUGCUCAAGGUUUGGACUACUUGCACACGGGAUGCGUAUUACCAAUAACUCAUAGAGACUUGAAGGCGCACAACAUUCUUCUAGGACAUGACAUGGUUGCUAAGAUCUCAGAUUUUGGAUUGUCCAAGUCAUACAUCAAUGUGGCACAAAGUCACAUAUCUGUGACAGCUGCAGGAACUCUAGGCUACAUCGAUCCAGAGUACUGUGUUAGCGGCAGGCUCACCACAAGCAGUGAUGUCUUCAGCUUUGGAGUGGUUUUACUAGAGAUUGUCACAGGUGAACCUCCAAUCUUGCCGACCCCUGUGCAUAUUGUGCAGCGUGUAAAGGAGAAGGUUAUCAUGGGCGAUAUUGAGGCAAUUGUUGAUCGAGGACUUCACUGUCAAUAUGACUUCAGUUCUAUUUGGAAGGUUGUGGACAUGGCCCUGCUUUGCACAAGAGAGGUAUCCAGUGAGAGGCCAACAAUGAGUAUGGUGGUGGCUCAGCUAAAGGACGCUCUAGCACUGGAAGAAUCACGUGUAAGUUCAAGCACCAUUAGCCAAGUCGGUUCUAAUGUGGACCUGUCAAUCAGCUGGGUAGCAUCAGGAAGAUGA